ACCAUACAAAAGCAACCCUUGAGUUGGUCUUGUACAUCAAGAACAUUCAAACAAAAGCAAAGAAAGGAUUUAAUCCAAAUCUAACCCUUAUUUGACCAGCUGUAUUCCCAAAUUUAAUUCAGCAAUUUCUUUAGUAGUUACCAAUUCAAGCAUUGAUCAAGCCAAAAUAUUUCGGGUUACUGUGUUUACGAUAGUUUAAUUGGCCCAUUAGGC
rnacentral:lncRNA from 1 species